rnacentral:rRNA from 1 species
AUUGAACGCUGGCGGCAUGCCUUACACAUGCAAGUCGAACGGCAGCACGGGAGCAAUCCUGGUGGCGAGUGGCGAACGGGUGAGUAAUAUAUCGGAACGUGCCCAGUAGUGGGGGAUAACUGCUCGAAAGAGCAGCUAAUACCGCAUACGACCUGAGGGUGCAAGGGGGGGAUCGCAAGACCUCUCGCUAUUGGAGUGGCCGAAAUCAGAUUAGCUAGUUGGUGGGGUAAAGGCAUACCAAGGCAACGAUCUGUAGUUGGUCUGAUAGGACGACCAGCCACACUGGGACUGAGACACGGCCCAGACUCCUACGGGAGGCAGCAGUGGGGAAUUUUGGACAACGGGCGCAAGCCUGAUCCAGCAAUGCCGCGUGCAGGAAGAAGGCCUUCGGGUUGUAAACUGCUUUUGUCAGGGAAGAAAUCCUCUAGGUUAAUACCCUUGGGGGGAUGACGGUACCUGAAGAAUAAGCACCGGCUAACUACGUGCCAGCCGCCGCCGUAACAC